rnacentral:rRNA from 1 species
ACGGGUGAGUAACACGUAGCUAACCUGCCCCCGCGACGGGGAUAACCCGGGGAAACCCGGGCUAAUACCCGAUGGUCUUCCGGGGCCAAAAGGCCUUGGAAGUAAAGGCGCUUUCGGGCGCCGCGCGGGGAGGGGGCUGCGGCCCAUCAGCUAGACGGUGGGGUAACGGCCCACCGUGGCGAUGACGGGUAGGGGGCCUGAGAGGGUGGCCCCCCACAUGGGGACUGAGACACGGCCCUGACUCCUACGGGAGGCAGCAGUGGGGAAUCUUGGGCAAUGCCCGAAAGGGUGACCCAGCGACGCCGCGUGGGGGACGAAGCCCUUCGGGGUGUAAACCCCUUUUCUGGGGGAAGAAUAAGGCGGGGAGGAAAUGCCCCGCCGAUGACGGUACCCCAGGAAUAAGCCCCGGCUAACUACGUGCCAGCAGCCGCGGUAAGACGUAGGGGGCGAGCGUUACCCGGAUUCACUGGGCGUAAAGGGCGUCUAGGCGGUUCGGCAAGUCGCCUGUGAAAGCCCCUGGCUCAACUGGGGGAGGUCGGGCGAUACUGCCGGGCUAGAGGGCGGCAGAGGAAGGUGGAACGGCCAGAGUAGCGGUGAAAUGCGUAGAUACUGGCCGGUACCCCGAUGGCGAAGGCAACCUUCUGGGCCGUCCCUGACGCUGAAGCGCGAAAGCGUGGGGAGCGAACCGGAUUAGAUACCCGGGUAGUCCACGCCCUAAACGAUAUGGGCUAGGUGUCGGGCCGCAACUGGCUCGGUGCCGCAGCUAACGCGUUAAGCCCACCGCCUGGGGAGUACGGUCGCAAGGCUGAAACUCAAGGGAAUUGACGGGGGCCCGCACAAGCGGUGGAGCAUGUGGUUUAAUUCGAUGCUAAGCGAAGAACCUUACCCGGGUUUGACAUGCAGGUGGUACCGACCCGAAAGGGAAGGGACCCAGGGCCUUCGGGCGCCUGGGAGCCUGCACAGGUGCUGCAUGGCUGUCGUCAGCUCGUGUCGUGGCACGUUGGGUUAAGUCCCGGAACGAGCGCAACCCCUGCCGCCAGUUGCCAGCGGACCUUUUUAAGGUGCCGGGGACUCUGGUGGGACUGCCGGGGAAUACCCGGAGGAAGGAGGGGAUGACGUCAAGUCAUCAUGGCCCUUAUGCCCGGGGCGACACACAUGCUACAGUGCCCGGUACAAUGGGCAGCGAACGGGGCGCCCCGGAGCCAAUCCCAUCAAAGCCGGGCAUGGUUCGGAUUGCAGGCUGCAACCC